rnacentral:lncRNA from 1 species
UAGUUACCUGUUUUCUGAUUCAAUUAUCUGCAAAUAUAUAAGAUAUAUGUUUUUAUGUGUGUGAAAGCUAUAUAUAUUACAUGUAUUUAGUUUUGUGUCAUAAAAUCUACUUAUUGGGAUAAUGUAUCUUACCCCCUCAUCAUUUUCAGAUCCUGCAGAGACAGUUGAGGAGUAAACGGUAAUAGCAGAGAAGUAUUUUGCAAGUUAGACUCUUUAAGAACUUAGGUUGCUAUUUUGUAUUUUU